GACGAACGCUGGCGGCGUGCUUAACACAUGCAAGUCGAACGGAAAGGCCCUGCUUGCAGGGUACUCGAGUGGCGAACGGGUGAGUAACACGUGGGUGAUCUGCCCUGCACUUCGGGAUAAGCCUGGGAAACUGGGUCUAAUACCGGAUAGGAGCCAUUUUUAGUGUGAUGGUUGGAAAGUUUUUUCGGUGUAGGAUGAGCUCGCGGCCUAUCAGCUUGUUGGUGGGGUAAUGGCCUACCAAGGCGGCGACGGGUAGCCGGCCUGGGAGGGUGGACGGCCACAGUGGGACUGAGACACGGCCCAGACUCCUACGGGAGGCAGCAGUGGGGAAGAUUGAACAAGGGGCGCGAGCCUGAUGCAGCGACGCCGCGUGGGGGAUGACGGCCUUCGGGUUGUAAACUCCUUUCGCUAGGGACGAAGCUUUUUGUGACGGUACCUAGAGAAGAAGCACCGGCUAACUACGUG
rnacentral:rRNA from 1 species